GCGCAGAGUGGUAGAGGGCGCUGCGCCCUUCAGUGAAGCUGGAGAAGGAACAGAAGGAGACCCUUCUGUUCCUCCUCUGGCUUCGCUGGACAAGCGCGCCACUCAAGGGGCGCUGCGCCUUCUCCCUCUCCGCGC